CACGUAGGGUGCGAGCGUUGUCCGGAAUUAUUGGGCGUAAAGAGCUCGUAGGCGGUGUGUCGCGUCGGCCGUGAAAACCUGCAGCUUAACUGUGGGCUUGCGGUCGAUACGGGCAUCACUGGAGUUCGGCAGGGGAGACUGGAAUUCCUGGUGUAGCGGUGAAAUGCGUAGAUAUUGGGAGGAACACCAGUGGCGAAGGCGGCUCGCUGGACCGGUUCUGACGCUGAGGCGCGAAAGCGUGGGGAGCAAACAGG
rnacentral:rRNA from 1 species